AUGUUAAUGUCGACUGACGUUGCUUCCAUUAUGCUGCCCGUGUCCCGGGCUCUCAUAGACCGGGACAGAGAGCUGGACACCAUGCCCGGGGUGCAUCCCAACCCGGGCGGCGCUCCCGCAGCCCUCCGAGGCAUGAAGCGCGGGGACCCGGAGCCCGACGCGCAGACGGCGGUCACGCUGGUGGACUCCAGCGGGGCAGAGUGCAAGCGCCCACGCAUCGACGGCUCGGGAGGGCUUGGCGAGGUCGGCCAGAAUAACGACCCGUUGACUCUCGGUUACCACGGAUACCCAACUCACAGUCAGGGCUCUCAGGAUAGUGCUGGCGGUCAGGAGGGACUGGUACCUCCACCUUUCUCUGCGUUCCCACCUCCCCCUCCACCACCACCGCAGAACGGCCUAACCUUAGACUACGGGGGCAGUCUCUACGCGACGGGGGCCGUUCAGGGCCGGUGGAGGCCGGCGGAGUGGGAAACGGCGUGGUCAACCCUGCCAACAGCCUCAGCGCUCAAGUAAGUGCCAGCCUGAUCUCCGGUGUGCCGCCCACAUCUGGGCUCUGCCUGGAGACAGCAGCCCACAGAGUGUGCCACUUUUUUUUUUUUUUAGCUGCAC
rnacentral:lncRNA from 1 species